UACGGAGGGAGCAAGCGUUACUCGGAAUUACUGGGCGUAAAGGGCGCGUAGGCGUUCCCUCAAGUCUUGUGUGAAAGCCCAGGGCCUAACCCUGGAAGUGCACAAGAUACUGAUGGAAUUGAGUUCCGGCGAGGAAGAUAGAAUUCCCGGUGUAGCGGUGAAAUGCGUAGAUAUCGGGAGGAAUACCAGAGGCGAAGGCGAUCUUCUGGACGGAUACUGACGCUGAGGCGCGAAAGCUAGGGGAGCAAAC
rnacentral:rRNA from 1 species